UCCAUCACAAAAGAUUCAUCAUAUUUGGGGGUGAUGAUGUCACAUGGGUGAUGAUGUCACACAGCAAACAUGUCUUCAUUAAUUUCACUGCACUUACUUUAAUCCUAAUUAAAUACUUGACCCAGCAGAACACACUAAACCAUUGUCUAUAAAGGUUAACAAGGGAGUGUCAAUCUCUCAACAGCUCGCAAUCCUUGGGUGUGCAGCAUGAUUUUGGAUUGAAUCACUGAAACAUUACAUUCUGGUCUGACAAUCUCCUGAUGAUCUAUUACUUGCAAAUGGAGGUUCAGAAUAAAGUGGUUUGGUUGGAAGCAUUUUUAGGACAUGACCAUCACUUUAGAGCACAAGUUAACAGAGAGAAAACCAUUCAAGCAGAGUUCCCACGACCACAGAGAUCUCAAGUACCCGAAGGAUUUUAAAAUCACAAUACAGUGACUUUGGCUCUAUGCCUCAUACAUCAUGUUUGGUUCUUAGCAAGUAUUAAUGGGAAUAUAUGGGAAUUAACAGGAAAUAAGAGUAAACUGGAAAUGUGAAAAAAAUGGCAAAGUUACAGAAAAGAUUGAAAACUGAAAUUCAUUGAAAAUUGAAAGUUUUCCUAUUUGGAAUAUUUCCAAAAUUCUCCAGAUUAACUUCCUUUGCAACCAUACAUACAUGUGAGAACAUGCAUUUAAAUAGCUGAAAGAAGCACGGCAUCUAAACCGCUCUAUCUUGACAUGCAGCAAGGGUGACUCGAAAUGCAUCUAAUAGGAUUUAUGCAUAAAGUAAAUAUUGCAUAUUUCAAAGUGUGUCCACCUGUUUUUUGGGCUGUUUAUAUUGCUUCAAACUCCACAAAGAUUUAAUGUAAACAACCGGCGAGUAGUGCACUUCAUUAUUUUACAUUUCUCCAAAAAGCCAAGAUUGCAGAAUAAACAGACAUGCAACUUCUCUGACGUUUAUCCAGUGCAGCAAAAACAAACUUAAGAGUGUCAUAUCUGUCUCUAAUCAUUUUAACAAUUUCUAUUAAAACAUGAAUUCAUGUACAGCAGAUUGCAUACUUGUUAAGCUUUAAAGACAUCAAACAUUCAUGCUGACCGAGUGAACACUAAAUUCAGGAAAUCACAGUCAAAGCAAUAAAACAAUAUUAAACCACAAAACAAACCAUUCAUCUGACAGCUCAGUCUCGUGGUUUAAAGGGAUAGUUCACACAAAAAUUAAAAAUCUGUCAUAAUUUUCUCAUCCUCAUGUUGUUGUAAACCUGUUUGAAUUUCUUUUAUCUGAUCAACACGAAAGAAGAUAUUUUGAUAAAUGAUGGUAAGCACACAGCUGAUUUUAACCAUUGACUUCCACAGUAGGAAAAACAAAUAUUAUGGAAGUAUUGUGAUAAAUGAUGAUGAAGAAGAUAUUUUGAUAAAUGAUGGUAAGCACACACAGUUUACGGUACCCAUUCAAUUCCAUCAUAUUUGUUUUCCUACUUCUUUAACUAAUGCUUAAUAGAAUUAAAAAUACACUUAUAUAUGUAUGAAAUGUUUUACAAAAUAAAUAUUGAUGUUUUUCUAAUUUUUGUAAGCCGCUUUGGAUAAAAGCAUCUGCUAAAUGCCUAAAUUUAAAUAUAAAUAAUUUUAAAUUGUUUCAUAUUUUAUCGUAACCCAGAAUGCACCAUAUGACGUAGUUUUCCAUGGUUAGUAACUAAAAAAGAAUUUCUGACACUUUUUUUUUCAUUUUCCAUGUGUUUUGAAAAUUUGAUCAUGGUUAUGGAAAACAUUAAUGAAAUAUAAAACAAAUAGUCCGAGUUAAGCUUAAAACCAGACAAAAUCAAGAUUAUUUCUGUAUGCACGCGCUGUGUAUUUUUACCUCAGCAUGCAGUCACGCGCGGACGAACAUGUACAACAACGACAUACAGUACAGGACAGAAGAAGAGAAUCUACAAACAUGCAACAACAAUCCCUUCGUGUCCCACAGACAAUAUGAGAUUCAGCGUAUAGGUUCAGACUUCAUAGGAUAAUCUUUCCAAAGGGAGCGACAAAAACACCUGCAGAGACAAAAGCAGAAUAAUGAACAUCUGAGGUAAAUGAAAGCAAGUCAAUUAACAUCAUUGAUGGCAUGAAAACAGGUAUGAGCCCUUGUUCUCAAAGAAAAGAGUUCCCGGAGGAAGACUUUGUUAAUAUGAAUGCCUGCCUACCAACCACAUAAUGAUUUAUUGUUUAAUUUAGAUAUGGCUCUCUAUUUAAUAUUGCUCUUUGUGUAACUUGUACACCAGGUAUUAUUAUAAUGAGUACAUAACAAAGUGUACCUCUAAUGUAAAUGUCCAACGUUUUCAAACAGGUCUGAUCUAUUGUUCUGCGAGGACUUUCUAUUAUUAGCACAGAUAGAUGAACCCUUGUGGGUUUUGGGGAGUGUUUGAUCUACAGAUACAGUAUGUGCAGUACAAACAAACACAGUUCACUUUAAACCAGCAAUUGUAAAUAGUUGCAGCUUGUAAAAUGUAUUGGUAAUAAACUCUGUGUUUAUAUAAAGCAACAAAUUGUGCUUACCUUGCAAAUGUGUUCAAUUUAGAGAUAGAUAUAAAUUGUCCCCUUUAAUAGUCAUACAGUGUAUACAGUGUUAUUUAUGUUUGUAUGACUCUGUAACCCACAAUGAUGUCUGUGCGCUUACAAUAAUAAAAUGACUCAGAUUUUUAUCCUCAAGGAUUUCUCCAUAGACGUUAGUCUUCACUGUUGCCAUGGAUUGCAUUCGUCUGGUCCGUGGCAACAGCUCAGGUGAGGUGGGCUUGUU